GUUUAAGUGGAGAGAAGUACUAACUCUAUAAAAAUAUUUUAGAAAAUCAAACUUACAAAUGGAUAUAACUUGAUAUAAUAUUAAUUUAGAGAUUUAUUUUUAUAAAAUUUAUUUAUAAAUCAAAUAUUUUUCUUUUGCCAAAAUCUCUCUCUCUCUCUCUCUCUCUCUCUCUCUCUCUCUCUCUCUCAUGUGCAUUUAUAAACACAGUGUGACAGCUACAUGGUUCGUAGUCACAAUUGUCCUAUUUAAAGUCCGAGAGAAGCUGUCGCUUACACUUACAACCCACAUUUUUAUUCGCUGCUGAUCUGUAUUCACUUGCCUAUAAACAACCCCAUCUCCCUAGUUCGCUCCCUCACUCUUUUAUUUAAUUGUGAGGUCCUCUAUUUUCCCCAACAAAGAAGCAAAAUUUCAGGGGGAAAGAAAAAUGUGCAUUUCCAUACCACGUAGUUCCCUGUGUUCUGGUUUCUGCCUUCCACGGUCGUCAAAGCCACAAAACCUUCGACUUCGACGGCUUAGCAGGAAAAGAAGAUUAUUGAAAGAAGCAAAAGAGAAGAAAAGGCUGAGGAUAGCGAAGGCAGAGAUGGAAGUCAAGAACUUGAAAUUAUACCUGAAGAACCGAAGCAUCAUAGAAGAGAACGAGAAGCUGAGACGGCAAGCUAUGCUGCUUCACCAAGAGAACCAGACCCUGUUAUUGCAGCUCCGGAAAAAGCUCCCUCAGGAGAAACAGCAACAACAAUCACAAACAUGAACACAUACUGGUAUUGCUACGCUGCUAUGCAGAAAACAAAAAGAUUUACGAAGGAAUAGGGAACUUUAGGUCUUUGAUCUUUUGAGGGGCAGUCUCAAUGAAUCCUCUCUCCUCUUUUUUUCUUCUAUUUUUCUUUUGGUUUUCUUAGCUUAAAUUAGACUUGGUAACUGAAAUGAUUAUGGCAGGGAAGAAGAAGACGAAGACAUGGGUUAACUAAUAAUGAUAUUGGCCUUCUAUGAAUGGCUUGACUGUGUGUGUUUUUAUGAGUAUUAGAACGUAGUGAUGUUACAACUAUAUGCAUCGUUAAUUGAAUAUAAUCUUGCGUUACUGAGUUUUUA